UGGCCAGACUUAUUUCUAUGGAAUACCUUCUUUCACUCCAAACGUCUUUUUGACUUUCGCCAUGUCAAACAAUGUGUUCACCGCGCUGUGCCAGAAUAAGUACGUUUAUCUUCUUGGCCAUAACUUUAUGUUGGGAUAUCUUAUUGACCACAUGUUUGAUUUUGAUGGAUUAUGUCUAUUUCGCCUUCAUUCCCAUCUUGACUGUCCACUACGUCCUUGGAUUCUGUGGAUGAUGUGAUCUACGUAACCAUCACGCCAGUGGCCAAAAUAACACUGUUCAAGAUGGCCUACUCGGAGUUCAACGACAAAUUUGGAAAAAGCGUUAUCAUGGCAGGUCAUGAAGAGAAAAUAGAAAGAAAUGACGAAGAUGUUUAUUAUGAUGUCAAGAACCAGAUGAAGUGGGCGUUGAAAGGGAUUGAGGAACCAAGGCCGCGAAUUCUCAAAUAUCUCAGUAUUUAUACUCUUCGCUUCUUCUCGAAUUGCGCCACUUUUAUAACUGCUAUCGUUUUUAUUAAAUGGUUAUUAAAAAAAGAACUGAUAUAAUUUAUAUCUGGAAUAUUUACUAUUUUCAAUAAAUCACCUAUAUUGAGCCAUGGAA